rnacentral:lncRNA from 1 species
AUCACAAUCAUUUGUACGAGAGCAAAAGUUGACGAUGAAGUCGGAAAGCCCUGCUACCGACCAUUCGUUAUAAUUAAAUUAAUUUACCUUUUGAAGCCAAUUGAAUUGGGUUAGGGAGGUUUAAAACCCAUUAGGUGCAUAUUUGGAUUGGGAAAAUAGGGACGACUUAUAAAUGCCGUAAAGGCGCGAGAAAUGUGCCUAAAUUUGUGGUGAGGCCGAAAAGUACUACUAUCGGUAAGCCACACGUCAGUAAAUAAUUUCAAAAUAAAUUAAAAGCGGGAGGCAAACAACUUUUAGGUUGACAAAUAUUAUAAAUCCUAAAAAAAAAAAUUUUUUUUAAGCCGGACGUAAGUCAUUAAAGCGACCGUGCUAGAACCACGGGACUCGGGGGGUGCCUAACACCUUCCCCUCGGUCAACAGAAUUCCUUAUCAGGAUUUCUAGUUCGCAGAUCGAAAAAAUAAAAAUUAAAGAGUCAUUUUCUUUUUGAAUAGGGAUUCAAUAAGGUGACUUGGAACACCCAAACUCAAUUCCAAGUGGCGACUCUGUAAAUAAAAUAAUCCCUUUUCAAAACGUCACUUUAAUUGGAAAAACCCAUUUUUCUCCAAAACCAACUCCCUAGCGGGGGGUCGGAUGCGGUGAAAGAGAGGGGUGUGACAAUUCAUUUAUCAAGUGUCCAUACUUAACUAAAAUUCAAAACACAAGUUCACCUUUCAAGUACCUAAACUUAAACAUUUUCAAGUCACUAAUUCAAUUAUCAAGUGACCACACUUAACUAAAACUCAAAACACAAGUUUACCUUUCAAG